rnacentral:lncRNA from 1 species
GAUUCCUGCAAGAAUUGAUGCUGGAAUUCCCUUGAUUAAGAUAUAAGCAAUAGGUAAUUUCCAAAAGCUGUUUAGGCCAACGAACAUCACAAUAAGGCAUUCAUUUGCUGGUAUAUCUUCGCCACUGUUGCUUUGACCACCAAAGUCAACAUAAGCAAAACAUGUUCCUAGCUUGAGGGAUGAGGCAGAGGAUAUCAUAUCUAAUUAUGAAUACAUUGCACGGAAGUCGUAAUGUGCAAAUUCGUACUGGCGUUUUUCUUCUUGCACAUCGAUGAACUUGGAUAAGAGUUAAUUCAAAGCCUAAUUGAAUGGAUUUGAUAGCAUUACAUAUGUUACUCACAAUGAUGCCCAUUACUUUCACCCAAGAAGGAAAAGAAGUAUAUCUGAAAUAUUACCCAAUUGGACUUGUUCGAUAGCUUUGGAUCAAAACAAAAACAUUUUCUUUCGGAAGGAUUGCAAAUUAAACAAAUUGGAAAUUUGGACUGUUAUAUAUAUGAUUUUAUUUAUUGUUUUCUAUAAAUUUUAGUGUUAUUUGUUCAUUUGUUUUAUAUUCUUGUGAUUGCUCUUUUUUGUUAGAUGUUCAUUCAUUUGUGU